UAGGGAAUAUUAGUAAUGGGCGAAAGCCUGAACUAGCAACACCGCGUGUGCGAAGAAGGCCUUCGGGUUGUAAAGCACUUUUUGAGAGGAUGAGGAAGGACGGUACUCUCAGAAUAAGUCUCGGCUAACUACGUGCCAGCAGCCGCGGUAACACGUAGGAGGCGAACGUUAUCCGGAAUUAUUGGGCGUAAAGCGCGUGUAGGUGGUUUGGUAAGUAGAGCGUGAAAGCUCCUGGCUAAACUGGGGGAGGUCGUUCUAAACUGCCAGACUAGAGGAUGGUAGAGGGAGGUGGAAUUCCGGGUGUAGCGGUGGAAUGCGCAGAUAUCCGGAGGAACACCAGUGGCGAAAGCGGCCUCCUGGACCACUCCUGACACUCAGACGCGAAAGCUAGGGUAGCAAACG
rnacentral:rRNA from 1 species